rnacentral:tRNA from 1 species
GUGUUCAGAAUUGUUGAUUCUUGGGGUUUACUCGAUGGGGCGUGGGCUUG